GUAAGGAAUAUUGGUCAAUGGACGCAAGUCUGAACCAGCCAUGCCGCGUGAAGGAUGAAGGUCCUCUGGAUUGUAAACUUCUUUUAUCUGGGACGAAAACGGGAUUUUUAUCUCAAUUGACGGUACCAGAGGAAUAAGCUCCGGCUAACUCCGUGCCAGCGGCCGCGGUAAUACGGAGGGUGCGAGCGUUAUCCGGAUUUACUGGGUUUAAAGGGUGCGUAGGUGGGCUUAUAAGUCAGUGGUGAAAUCUCCGAGCUUAACUUGGAAACUGCCGUUGAUACUAUAGCUCUUGAAUUAUCUGGAGGUAAGCGGAAUAUGUCAUGUGGCGGUGAAAUGCUUAGAUAUGACAUAGAACACCAAUUGCGAGGGCAGCUUACUACAUAUAAAUUGACGCUGAGGCACGAAAGC
rnacentral:rRNA from 1 species